GCGCGAAAACUUUACAAUGCAGGCAACUGUGAUAAGGGAACCCCGAGUGCCCGUAUGGACGGGCUGUUCAGGUGCUUAAAAACCACCUGGAGAAAGGGCCGGGCAAGACCGGUGCCAGCCGCCGCGGUAAUACCGGCGGCUCGAGUGGUGGCCACUAUUACUGGGCUUAAAGCGUCCGUAGCUUGGUCGUUAAGCCUCUGGGGAAAUCUUCCGGCUCAACCGGAAGGCGUCACAGGGGAACUGGCGACCUAGGGAUCGGGAGAGGUGAGAGGUACUCUGGGGGUAGGAGUGAAAUCCUGUAAUCCUCAGGGGACCACCUGUGGCGAAGGCGUCUCACCAGAACGACUCCGACAGUGAGGGACGAAAGCUGGGGGAGCAAACCGGAUUAGAUACCCGGGUAGUCCCAGCCGUAAACGAUGCGCGUUAGGUGUAUCGGUGACCACGAGUUACCGAGGUGCCGAAGGGAAACCGUGAAACGCGCCGCCUGGGAAGUACGGUCGCAAGGCUGAAACU
rnacentral:rRNA from 1 species